rnacentral:rRNA from 1 species
AAGCGGUGGAGCAUGUGGUUAAUUCGAAGCAACGCGAAGAACCUUACCAGGCCUUGACAUGCAGAGAACUUUCCAGAGAUGGAUUGGUGCCUUCGGGAACUCUGACACAGGUGCUGCAUGGCUGCCGUCAGCUCGUGUCGUGAGAUGUUGGGUCAAGUCCCGUAACGAGCGCAACCCUUGUCCUUAGUUACCAGCACGUUAUGGUGGGCACUCUAAGGAGACUGCCGGUGACAAACCGGAGGAAGGUGGGGAUGACGUCAAGUCAUCAUGGCCCUUACGGCCUGGGCUACACACGUGCUACAAUGGUCGGUACAAAGGGUUGCCAAGCCGCGAGGUGGAGCUAAUCCCAUAAAACCGAUCGUAGUCCGGAUCGCAGUCUGCAACUCGACUGCGUGAAGUCGGAAUCGCUAGUAAUCGUGAAUCAGAAUGUCACGGUGAAUACGUUCCCGGGCCUU